rnacentral:rRNA from 1 species
CAGCAGCCGCGGUAAUACGGAGGGUGCAAGCGUUGUUCGGAAUUAUUGGGCGUAAAGCGCGUGUAGGCGGUUGGGUAAGUCAGAUGUGAAAGCCCUGGGCUCAACCCGGGAAGUGCAUUUGAAACUGUCUUGCUAGAGUAAGGGAGAGGGAAGUGGAAUUCCUGGUGUAGAGGUGAAAUUCGUAGAUAUCAGGAGGAACACCGGUGGCGAAGGCGACUUUCUGGCCCUAUACUGACGCUGAGACGCGAGAGCGUGGGGAGCAAACAGGAUUAGAUACCCUGGUAGUCCACGCCGUAAACGAUGUUCACUAGGUGUUGGGGGUAUUGACUCCCUCAGUGCCGGAGCUAACGCAUUAAGUGAACCGCCUGGGGAGUACGGUCGCAAGACUAAAACUCAAAGGAAUUGACGG